ACUGCAAAAUGGUUGGAGUAUUCCACCCUCUAUGUAGAGAAUCUACAAGUUCCUUGCAUAGUUUUGAGAAAACAAAAUGCUCAGAAGAGGUGAUCAAUGAAGCAAUUGCAGAAACAGCAUGCUUGGACUGAGUCCGAGUUCCCUCCAAACACACUCUCUCCAAGAAAGGGUAAAAUUCACUAAAUUCGACCGAUAUAUGAGGAGCUGCUUUUGCUAACAC
rnacentral:misc_RNA from 1 species